GCUACUGCUAUCAGAGUUUGAUUAAGCCAUGUUAGUCGAGGGUAUCUUUUCUUCGGAAGAGGUAACCGGCGGACGGCUCAGUAACACGUAGACAACUUACCCUUGGGACCGGGAUAACCCUUGGGAAACUAGGGCUAAUACCGGAUAGUGCAUCGAUUGCUGGAAUGCAUGAUGUACGAAAGCUGAGGCGCCCAAGGAUAGGUCUGUGGCCGAUUAGGUUGUUGUUGAUGUAACGGAUCAACAAGCCUACGAUCGGUACGGGUUGUGAGAGCAAUAGCCCGGAGAUGGGUUCUGAGAGAAGAACCCAGGUCCUACGGGACGCAUCAGGCGCGAAAACUUUACAAUGUGCGAAAGCACGAUAAGGGAACUCUGAGUGCCUCCUAGGGAGGCUGUUCAGGUGUUUAAAAAGCAUCUGGAGGAAGGGCUGGGCAAGACCGGUGCCAGCCGCCGCGGUAACACCGGCAGCCCAAGUGGUAGUCAUGUUUACUGGGUCUAAAGCGUCCGUAGCCGGCUAGGUAAGUUCCUUGGGAAAUUUGAUCGCUUAACGAUUAAGCUUCCUGGGAAUACUACUUGGCUUGGGACCGGGAGAGGUUAGAGGUACCUCAAGGGUAGGGGUGAAAUCCGUUAAUCCUUGGGGGACCACCGGUAGCGAAGGCGUCUGACCAGACCGGAUCCGACGGUGAGGGACGAAGGCUAGGGGAGCGAACCGGAUUAGAUACCCGGGUAGUCCUAGCUGUAAACGAUGCGGGCUAGGUGUUGGCAUUACUGCGAGUGAUGCCAGUGCCGAAGGGAAGCCGUUAAGCCCGCCAUCUGGGGAGUACGGUCGCAAGGCUGAAACUUAA
rnacentral:rRNA from 1 species